CGCGAAUCGCCCUUCGGGGUGCACCAGGCGCGAAAACUUUACAAUGCGGGAAACCGUGAUAAGGGGACACCGAGUGCCAGCAUCAUAUGCUGGCUGUCCGGGUGUGUAAAAUACACCCGUUAGCAAGGGCCGGGCAAGACCGGUGCCAGCCGCCGCGGUAACACCGGCGGCCCGAGUGGUGAUCGUGAUUAUUGGGUCUAAAGGGUCCGUAGCCGGUUUGGUCAGUCCUCCGGGAAAUCUGAUAGCUCAACUAUUAGGCUUUCGGGGGAUACUGCCAGGCUUGGAACCGGGAGAGGUAAGAGGUACUACAGGGGUAGGAGUGAAAUCUUGUAAUCCCUGUGGGACCACCUGUGGCGAAGGCGUCUUACCAGAACGGGUUCGACGGUGAGGGACGAAAGCUGGGGGCACGAACCGGAUUAGAUACCCGGGUAGUCCCAGCCGUAAACGAUGCUUGCUAGGUGUCAGGCAUGGCGCGACCGUGUCUGGUGCCGCAGGGAAGCCGUGAAGCGAGCCACCUGGGAAGUACGGCCGCAAGGCUGAAACUUAAAGGAAUUGGCGGGGGAGCAC
rnacentral:rRNA from 1 species